UACGGAGGGUGCAAGCGUUAUCCGGAUUCACUGGGUUUAAAGGGUGCGUAGGCGGACAGGUAAGUCAGUGGUGAAAUCUCCGAGCUUAACUCGGAAACUGCCUUUGAUACUCUCUGUCUUGAAUAUGGUGGAGGUAAGCGGAAUAUGUCAUGUAGCGGUGAAAUGCUUAGAGAUGACAUAGAACACCUAUUGCGAAGGCAGCUCGCUACACAUAUAUUGACUCUGAGGCACGAAAGCGUGGGGAUCAAACAGG
rnacentral:rRNA from 1 species